rnacentral:rRNA from 1 species
UACAUUUCCGGUCUUUUAGACCUGGAUACCUCUCAGGUAAACUCGGUUUGAGGAUUGCUGUUGCGCAAGCCGGCUCUCCUUACAUUUCCAGGUCUAUGUCUUUAAUUAUACCCCAAUGAAUGUAAUAGAAUGUCAUUAAUAGGCCUUUAGUGCCUUUAAUAUCAAAUACAACUUUC